UACAGAGGGUGCAAGCGUUAAUCGGAAUUACUGGGCGUAAAGCGUGCGCAGGCGGUUCGUUGUGUCGGUGGUGAAAGCCCCGGGCUUAACCUGGGAAUGGCCGUCGAAACUGGCGAACUGGAGUGUGGCAGAGGGGGGUGGAAUUCCGCGUGUAGCAGUGAAAUGCGUAGAGAUGCGGAGGAACACCGAUGGCGAAGGCAGCCCCCUGGGCUGACACUGACGCUCAGGCACGAAAGCGUGGGGAGCAAACAGG
rnacentral:rRNA from 1 species